rnacentral:rRNA from 1 species
UACGGAGGGACCGAGCGUUGUCCGGAAUCAUUGGGCGUAAAGGGUACGUAGGCGGUCUAGUAAGUUAGAAGGGAAAGGCAGUAGCUCAACUAAUGUAAGCAUUUAAAACUGCUAGACUUGAGAGAUUGAGGGGAAAGUGGAAUUCCUAGUGUAGCGGUGAAAUGCACAGAUAUUAGGAGGAAUACCAGUGGCGAAGGCAACUUUCUGGCAAUCAUCCGACGCUGAGGUACGAAAGCGUGGGUAGCAAACAGG